GUCUUUGUAGUAUAGCAAUUACCUUGGUCUUGUAAGCCAAAAACG
rnacentral:tRNA from 1 species